rnacentral:rRNA from 1 species
AAUGAACGCUGGCGGCGCGCCUAAUACAUGCAAGUCGAGCGAGAAGACGUAGCAAUACGUUUGUAAAGCGGCGAACGGGUGAGGAAUACAUGGGUAACCUACCCUAGAGUGGGGAAUAACUAGCCGAAAGGUUAGCUAAUACCGCGUACGCUCCUUGGACUUCGGUUCAGGGAGGAAAGCGAUGCCGAGGGUAUCGCGCUCUUGGAUGGGCUCAUGUCCUACCAGCUUGUUGGUGAGGUAACGGCUCACCAAGGCUUCGACGGGUAGCUGGUCUGAGAGGACGAUCAGCCACACUGGCACUGCGACACGGGCCAGACUCCUACGGGAGGCAGCAGUAAGGAAUAUUGCGCAAUGGGCGAAAGCCUGACGCAGCGACGCC